AUUGAACGCUGGCGGAAUGCUUUACACAUGCAAGUCGAACGGCAGCACGGGGCAACCUGGUGGCCAGUGGCGAACGGGUGAGUAACACGUGGGUAAUCUACCCUCGAGUGGGGGAAUAAGCUUCCGAAAGGGGGUCUAAUGCCGCAUAACGUUUCAUAACGAUGGUUAUGAAACCAAAGCCCAAAAGGCGCUCGAGGAGGAGCCUGCGUCCUAUCAGCUUGUUGGCAGGGUAAUGGCCUACCAAGGCUAUGACGGGUAGCUGGUCUGAGAGGAUGGUCAGCCACACUGGAACUGAGACACGGUCCAGACUCCUACGGGAGGCAGCAGUGAGGAAUAUUGCGCAAUGGGCGAAAGCCUGACGCAGCGACGCCGCGUGUGGGAUGAAGGAGCUUUGCUUCGUAAACCACUGUCGGACGGGAAGAAAAAGUUCCUACGGGGGCUUGGGACAGUACCGUCAGAGGAAGCACCGGCUAACUACGUG
rnacentral:rRNA from 1 species